CCCCCCCCCCCCCCCCCCCCCCCCCCCCCCCCCCCGGCAGGGACGUUGCGCUCCCGCCGUUGGGCUGGGAGCAGGCGGGCCGAGCGGAGACAGCAGAAAUGAGGCUGAGCGGAGGCCCGGCGAGUGACGCUCCCGUUCUCCCGCUGUGCUCGGGGGAGCGCUGGGCUGGGCGCGGAGCUCGGCUCUUCCUCCGCUGCUGGCUGGAGCUGUACGCGUUCUGGGCGUGGGAACGCGUGUGAGCGCGGAAAUACAGAGCCGUCCUUGUGUUACAUCACAGAGUUCUUCAGACACUCGGGCGCGUGUUGCCGCUCCUUAUCCAAGAUCUGCGGAGAUCCGCAGAAGCCUCUGCUUGAUCUCUGAGGGCACGAGAAGAACGAGAAGAUCAGUGAGCGGGAAGGAGCUGGAUCCGCCGGGGGGAUGCAGGAACAAGCUGUUCUUCAUACUCCAACCAGGCGUCGUUAAGCUGCGGGAUCACGCAGCGGCUGAUCGGGGGCGCUGCUGCCGCGGGAGGCAGCGCUCCCAGCACCGGCCCUCCCUCCGAGCCUUCGGGCCUUCGCUCUGCCCCUCCCGCACAAAGAAAUGCGCUUUUCCCAAUCCUCCACACUGCUUACAACCUUUUCUCAGUGGCCAUACCCAAGAUGGGCAUGGUAAAACUUUUUUUUCACUGAACACAUAUCUCUAGUGGAACCACUGAUAGAGAAGUUCACAUGCCAGACAUAUUUCUUAACGUUUGGUGGGUUUUUUUACCCUUAAUAUUAUGGGAGGAAAACCUUUGCAAUUCAUGUAAUUGGACCGGGUUGGUAAUCCAAAUGAGAUUUCCUUAUUUAGCAGCCUCUUUACAGAAGGAUCCACCUUUAUGUAGGUCGGGAAGUGAAAAAAGGCCAGGUCCAGGCAUACUUCAUAGCAAGUGAUUUUGCAAAGGGUGCGUGAGGAAAGUUCUGUGUUUGGUGUCCUUUUGCCCUUUUGUUAAAUGGAAAUAAUUUAACAAAAUCCCAAUAAAUGGGAUGUCUUGGUCCAGCCAUUAAACGCUCCUUUGUAUAUGCAAAUAGGUAAGAUUCUACGGGAAUUCUCGGGAUUUGUGGUUGUAGAUUUAUCAGUAAAGAUCCAAACCAGCAAUACGGAAUUCAUACCUAGAGAAAAUGAGAUUGCUGCAUAGCUGACACAAGCUAAAUGAUGCAGCACUUUUCAGGGUAGCAAACACCCAGUUUUACUAUUUAAAGGAGAAAUGUGAGUGCUUUGCCUUUUGCCAUUCUGCAUCUAAGACUGGAAGGUUAGCAGGAGCUGUGACACACAGAAAAUGGAGGAAAACAUUUCAUUUGCAUCUAAGACUGGAAGGUUAGCAGGAGCUGUGACACAGAAAAUGGAGGAAAACAUUUCAUUUAUUAUCUUCUAAACUUCCUUUUCCUUUUAUUUGUGAGCCCAACAGAGUAGUAACUACACUGUGAAAUGGAUUUUAAAUAUUGGCAUUCAUUGUGCAAUGUGUCCUCUGACCAGCAUGUGGGGAUAUGCCCAAGUACUUGAAGAGAACAUUGUAUACCCACUACAAUUUUAUUCAAGGAAAAGUCACUUGGUAUAACUGGAUUAACACAUGAAAUAAAAAAUACAUAAAGCAUGAAACAACAUACAGUGUUGCACAAAUCUCAGCCUGUAAUAGACAUAGCUAUUUUAUUUUAAAGAAUUAUAAUCCUAAAAACAGAUUACUGUAAAUGGAAUAAUUCAAGUGUGUCUUCAAAUAAAGUACAAGCCAUACUUUCAUUCCACUUAUCAUUUAU
ensembl:lncRNA